AAGAAAUUGAAGCUGGGAGAGCAUCUCCCUUACAAGGAGGGGGUCGGCGGUUCGAUCCCGUCAUCACCCACCA
rnacentral:tRNA from 1 species